rnacentral:rRNA from 1 species
AGAACGAACGCUGGCGGCAUGCCUAACACAUGCAAGUCGAACGAGACCUUCGGGUCUAGUGGCGCACGGGUGCGUAACGCGUGGGAAUCUGCCCUUAGGUACGGAAUAACAGUGAGAAAUUACUGCUAAUACCGUAUGAUGUCUUCGGACCAAAGAUUUAUCGCCUAGGGAUGAGCCCGCGUUGGAUUAGCUAGUUGGUGGGGUAAAGGCCUACCAAGGCGACGAUCCAUAGCUGGUCUGAGAGGAUGAUCAGCCACACUGGGACUGAGACACGGCCCAGACUCCUACGGGAGGCAGCAGUGGGGAAUAUUGGACAAUGGGCGAAAGCCUGAUCCAGCAAUGCCGCGUGAGUGAAGAAGGCCUUAGGGUUGUAAAGCUCUUUUACCCGGGAGAUAAUGACUGUACCGGGAGAAUAAGCCCCGGCUAACUCCGCGCCAGCAGCCGC